GACAGAGGGUGCAAACGUUGUUCGGAUUUACUGGGCGUAAAGCGCGUGUAGGCGGCCUUGCAAGUCGGAUGUGAAAGCCCACGGCUCAACCGUGGAAGUGCAUUCGAAACUGCAUAGCUUGAGUCUCGGAGAGGAAGGUGGAAUGCUUGGUGUAGAGGUGAAAUUCGUAGAUAUCAAGCAGAACACCUGCGGCGAAGGCGGCCUUCUGGACGAUGACUGACGCUGAGACGCGAAAGCGUGGGGAGCAAACAGG
rnacentral:rRNA from 1 species